AUUGAACGCUGGCGGCAGGCCUAACACAUGCAAGUCGAGCGAGCGGCGGACGGGUGAGUUAUGUCUGGGAAUCUGCGUGGUGGAGGGGGAUCACUACUGGACACGGAUGCCAAUACCGUAUACCAUCAGAUGUGCCCAGUUGGGUUUAGCUAGUGGGUGGGGUAAAGGCUCACCUAGGCGACGAUCCCUACCUGGUCUGAGAGGAUGACCAGCCACACUGGAACUGAGACACGGUCCAGACUCCUACGGGAGGCAGCAGUGGGGAAUAUUGCACAAUGGGCGAAAGCCUGAUGCAGCCAUGCCGCGUGUGUGAAGAAGGCCUUCGGGUUGUAAAGCACUUUCAGCGAGGAGGCGUUACUCGCAGAAGAAGCACCGGCUAACUCCGUGCCAGCAGCCGCGGUAAUUC
rnacentral:rRNA from 1 species